UAAAGUGGCGUACGGGUGAGUAACACGUGGAUCAUCUACCCUUUUGUGGGGAAUACCGCUGGGAAACCGGCGACAAUACCGCAUAAGCUCGAGAGAGGAAAGCCGAAAGGCGCAGGAGGAGGAGUCCGCGGUCGAUUAGUUAGUUGGCAGGGUAAAAGCCUACCAAGACUGUGAUCGAUAGCCGGCCUGAGAGGGCACACGGCCACACUGGCACUGAAACACGGGCCAG
rnacentral:rRNA from 1 species